GAGCGUGACCAUAGCAAGUAGUCCCUUGGAUGUCUAUCCACUCGUCAGUGACUUACUUGAUGCUGUAGUUGUAUGAUUGGUCCUUUGACCUGUAGUGCCUCGGCUAUUCACAGUGAGGUUGCUGUAGUUUGAUGAGCACAUAAACAUGGGUCCUAUCCAUUUGGAUCCUUGUGGUGCAGAUUAGCUACAGUGGAUUCAUUGUAGGAGUAGGAGUGCAUCUA
rnacentral:lncRNA from 1 species